CUGACUCACAUGUUUGAUUUUUUUGUGUUAUGAGAUCUACACUUUAAUGUUACAUCAUGUUGAUCAAUAUGGGUUUAUGGGAAAAAUGGAAAUUGUUUGCUUCAGACACACAAAGAUCUAUGGUUGAUGCACCUUUUGAUUUGAUAUAGGAAGAACCAGGAUCUGAUUGGUUCUGAAGAUCCUUUAAUAUUAGCUGGUAAUGGUAACUCCUAGUUUCAAUACAGGUACUUCUUGCUCAGAUUGGCCGAGAGCGGGAUUUCACCUGGGGUCACAUUAGUUUUUAUCAUCCUUUAGAGAGGAGGACGUUUUCUGAAGCGUAAAUGGGUCCGGCCUGCCCUCUGAUACCCCACACUGGCACUCCUGGAUUUGUAAGCAGGGCGUGACGGGCAGGUGCUCCACAUCUGCGUUGAUUACAGUCCUUCAUAAGGAGCUGAAACCAGGAGGAGGUCGUCAGUUCGCUUCUGCGUGAACUCUGGAUCCCAAGUCUGAGAACCACCUUUCAAACCUCCAUAGUUCUGGACCCACAUCUGAGAAACUCCAAGCCUUCUUCCAGGAAUCCAAGAAAGCUUCGGACCACUCACUGCAUAGCCCUCCUGCCUGAUCUCACCAGCCUGUCCACCCUCCGCCUCUCUGCCUGUUCGGACGCUUUUUUCUCUGCUCUCUGCUCCCUGCUUGCUUGCAUUUUACUUUUUAUCU